CAUGAAACUUCAUAAGAGGAUUUCAGCAUCUUUUCAGGAUUGCAAAAAUAUAUUAAUCUGCCCUUCCAGAAGCAGACUUAAAAUUACAUUUGCCAAAGAAGAGUAUAGAGACCCAGCUUUUAGUAUGGAGAUGGAAA
rnacentral:lncRNA from 12 species